UACGAAGGGAGCUAGCGUUGUUCGGAAUCACUGGGCGUAAAGCGCACGUAGGCGGACUCUUAAGUCAGGGGUGAAAUCCUGGAGCUCAACUCCAGAACUGCCUUUGAUACUGGGAGUCUUGAGUUCGGGAGAGGUGAGUGGAACUGCGAGUGUAGAGGUGAAAUUCGUAGAUAUUCGCAAGAACACCAGUGGCGAAGGCGGCUCACUGGCCCGAUACUGACGCUGAGGUGCGAAAGCGUGGGGAGCAAACAGG
rnacentral:rRNA from 1 species